AAUAGAGACAGGCAGCUUAAGAGAAACUCCAACCACGCAAACAGAGUUCUGGGAGAUCUGUAGAGAAGACAACAGGCGGGUUAGAAGUCUAGUGGUCUAGUGUGACUAUAUAAAGAGGAAACCCCCGUAUACCGCUGGUUUCUGAAUAUCGAUAAAAUGGAGAACUAAAGUCACUGGAUGCGAAAGUUUGUAUACCCCUAAUAAAAACAUAAAAAGUGGACACCGUGAAUCUCUGCGUUGUAAAGUGUGAACAGUGUUAUCUCACUUGAGUCUUUUAUGGAGGGAGGACAUAUAAAUAGAGCCUACAGUAUAUGCGAUGGCCGUUCUCCC